GUUGCUCUCAAGGCUCCAUCGUCUGCACUGGCCGGGAUCAUAGCGAGAUGUCAGGCACCUAAUGCACAUGUGGACACCUACAUUUAGAUCCCACUUCUUCCUGCCCAUUGUUGUACCUGUCUUCAGAAAAACAUCACAUAGCUGGUUGGCCUGGAAUACUUCGGCAUACAAGAUUUCAGCUCACGAAAAUGAGCUUCAAGUCAAAACCAGGGAGCAAGCAAGGCCCCAUCUUCCCUGAUCCUCCAUGCCCCCUAACAGCCAAGGGCCUGAUGACCAUGCAGUGCAGGAUGUUCAAGCGCAAAUCCUGGUUCUUGCUGAUUGACAGCGGGAUUUCAACCUCCGUCUCCCCAUCCCAGGUGAGUGCCACGUACACUUUGGGCUGUGAGUGUCUCUCCCUUUCUGAGGUUUUCAGGAGCAAUGCUAGAAAGGCUCCCAUUUUGUGUUGUAACACAGACAUUUCUGCACCCUUGGAAAUUUUCCUGGGAAGAAAGGACCAUUCCUCCUUCCCCAUUAAUACAUGAGAAACAGAAUCUUUUUCUUGGAGCAGGUGCCUCCGGAGCCCAGUGGGGACACUCCAGAAAUAAGCCAGGCUUCCUAUACAAAAUGACAGGCUCUGACCUGACCAUCAUGACUUAGGAAUCCUUCAGCUCUCCAAGGAUCACCUCACCUACCAGCACCUCCGAGCCCAUCGACACACGGACAAACCACACACGGCCCAGCACAGCCCUCCGUGUGUGCAGAGGAGCCCUCCGGCCCCAGGACCCAUGCCUGGGGCAGAGCUGAGGUGUUUGCAGGGCAACAGCUUGGCAGGGGUUAAUCUCCAUAGAGCUGGUGGGGUGGAUCUCAUCUGUAAAGUGCCAGGGCUGCUUUAUGGGAACCAUUUAAGCAAUUAAUAAACCUGGAUGUUAACCUGACA
rnacentral:lncRNA from 1 species